AUCAUUUCAAUUUUAGUAAAGCGACUUUAUUUAUCACUAGAAUAAACAACAAAUAAUAUAUUCGCAACGACUUUAAUGCGAUGAACCGUUCGGAUGAUAUACUCGACAUUACAAUUCGUAGAAACUGAGAAUUGUUUCUGACUCGACCUAAUAUGUAUAAGUAUACGCAUUACGAUUGUAAUUAUACGCGAGUCGUGAGACUGUUCGAACGAUCUAAGAUUAGACAAUGAUCACGCGGACACCGUGUAUAUCGUCGCACAAACGCUUUUGUAACACACGGAGCGAGACUCACCCGAGAACAUUGUGUACUAAAGAGAAAGAAGAGGAUACAUAAAGCGACUGGUAACAGUUUUAAUACCGACAACGAUUAUCCCGCGUGUUUGUCGUGGUUAUAUACACAACGCGCACACACAAACACACAUGUAUCCCUCCUCGAUCUUCAGCUUCCUCUGGUUCCUUCGUUGUGGAUUGCUAAGAAGAGUAGUACUGAUUUCAAAUGGUGCUAGGAAGUCGACAGCAUACCCCAGCACGCACAGAAGUCAGUACCUCUGCCUUCUUAUUCGCUUCGAACCAACAAGAUGUUUCCCCUUCCGGUUCCGUUGGCCUAACCGCAGCAGUCUUGCAAGCCUCCAAGGGAUUUCGCCUAACCGCGGUGGUUGUACACCAGCAAAAAAAUAUUCGGCGCAUAUCUUUCGGUAGCCACGGGUUUUCAUAUUCGUAAAACAGGCAGCUACAAAGAAUAUCGAAUAAUUUUCGAUACUCUACACGUCUACCGUUACUGCGUCCCUUGUUGGUUUAUAUAAUUAGGCUUAAGUUGUAGGGGUUGGCGCACGUGCAAACAAUCUGCAAUACUUUGUAAAACAGCUGUCGAGAUUCUGUGACGCAUUCUUGCAGAUUCCACGCGUAAAUCCCCACGAUUAUGAAUCUCGGAAGGUGACCCGAUCGAAGGUGCCAUCUCCUUGUCUCGCAGAAUUGUUGAGAAUUUGCUGAGAUUCUGGUAGAACCGGAAACAAAGUUGAAUCGAAAGUGUCGGUCUUCUAGGAAGCAACGUUUUUGAAUAUCUUUGACGUACCUGUUCCACCGAGUACCGUAGCAAUUCAAUUCGAUAGACAUGGCUUCGAAGUCUUAUCGUGCACUUUCGUCAAGAGUCUUUCAAUUUCCGGUUGUACCACGUCGGACACCCGGCGCACAUCCGUUGGACAUCACUCGCGACCGGAAACCGCGUUAUCCUCGGCAAUUUGAACAGUUUCUCGUCGAUAACGAAGAAUGCAGGAGGAUUAUUAGGAGACACUUUGGAGGACACGAUGGCCACAGAAGACAGCCGGGCCGGACGCUUUGUGUGUCGUAGGUGGGCCCAGACGGGCGAGCCAGACUGUCCCAGGAGCGCUCGGAUGGCUUCCUAUAUGCAGGCAGCCUGUUCACUUGCCGUAAAGCAAAAUGGUAACUUAAUAUUAGAGUUGAAUAUAAGUACCGGUAAUCCCACACCAGAGUCCAAAGUAAGCCUACACCUACCCGCCGCGACGGCCUACCGGACGGCCAGCCAUCCCUGGACCUCCGUUCCCCCUUACGAACGCCCUCGAGCGUAAUAAUACGACGGGAUACUAGAUAUCGGUGGCUCUCUGUAUUCUAGGUGCAAAUUGCGACCACCUAUGCUUAAGUCUCUUUCUCUCUCUCUCUCUCUCUCUCUCUCUCUCUCUCUCUCUCUCUCUCUCUCCCUCUCCUCUGCUUUACCGUCAUCACCUCGCAGACCGUAUCCGUCAUUCUUCCUGUGCGUCCUGCGUCCUCCAAACCUGAGAACUCAUGGUUUAACAAGGACCUAUCUGUUCAACUGUAAUCUUAACCCCUUGCCCUAUAAUCUCUCUCAUAUAUAUCAAUCGUUCAGACUGAUUAGAACUUCCUUGCAACAAUCUCCUACAAGAAAGAGUUCUGCAUGGCACUGUGGGACAAGGGUUUAACAAGGUUCUGUAACAUUAGUGACCACUACGGCUAUCUACUUUGGUAUAUGGAUCAGUGGAGAUCGGUUUUCUAUAAUAUGUGGACUUUAGCAGGUGGUCCAGCCUCUAGUCCACUUCUUGAAUAAUGAGUUCAAGCAUUCUGCACUGAAUUUUCAAGAGGCGAAGAAAUGGAGAGAGAACACGUCGAUGAUGAACAAUUGCCCCGAAGCAUCGUUCUACUUGGUGCCUUUGGGUAUCGAAGAGUUUUGCAGCAAUAUCGAGAAGCGAGGUAAAACGGGAGCAGAGCGCAAGCGGUGCUCCCCGAGGUGCAACGACCUUCGCGGACCAAGAAGAACUAGGAUAAACCAGUCUAGUCUCUCUGCGUGACGCGACAAGAGACUCUCUUUGGUGGACGGUGGCGAAGUAAGCUAAUCCGUCCGCGUGUAUCAUGUUUUUGAGUCCCUUUAAACGAUACUGAUACCUCUGUUGCCCUCGCGAGAAACGACGUUUCGCGGACGCGACGCACGCACCGGUGUCGAUUUCGACGUUAGUCUCGCGACAGAUGUUCCCAGAGGCUGCUGCCGCCGCCUGGGCUACUCCUUCUUACAAAGUCGUCAGAAAUCGGUAUCAUUCUCCGAGCCCCGGAAUACAUUGUAUUUCCCCGGUGAAAUUGGCUUCCCGAUGGGAAACGCAGCUGGAAAUAGAGCAGCCGACCUAGACAGAUGCUGUUUCCCCGGGCCAGACGCAGGUGUUUCCACCAAUGACCUCGCAUUUCCAUCGGUCAUCAUCUACAACCGUUGUGCCCUUCCCGGACGGUUUCCCUUAUUAGUGUGAACUCCGAACUAGAAAGAAAAUUAGUAAAAGGGUGACAGUGAAUCGUGGAAACUUGUGGAAUUUUGCUGCUUUCACUAAGGACCAGCGCGGUCUGCGUAUGGGAGAGAUCACGAAGAGACCUGGAAGAGGAAUAACCAUCCUCCCGUAGAAGCAACGAUCUCUUUUUCUUGCUACGUAGAUCGGCUCGCCGCGUCACCCAGUAUCGAAUCGAUCGGCAACGAUCACGCGGCUCGAUCGCGUCUCUCUCCUAGCUUCUAUCCGCGUCCACGUUUCUUCAUUUUAAGUCCCAGGCGUAUCCUGUUUCAAAGCGAGACCCAGCUGACCGCAACCCGGCAUCGUUUUCUCGUUUCGUCCGCUUGCGUUACGCACCGAUCCGCGCGACCACGUCUACGGAAAAAUCGGUUGAUGUGCUCUCAAUAUGCUUCGAAAAUUCCUGACCUGUGUGCUAGCCAGAAAUGGCGGGUGCCCUGUUAGUAUUCAUAUUUUGCGAUUCAUCAGAUUUUCGAGAAAAGAAUGAAAUUGGUUAAAAAAAAGUCAAUUAGUUCUUUUUUCAACAACACUGGUCUCUGUGUUGAACACUCGGUUCUUUUUUUAUUCCAGUGAAUUAUUAUUUGCGUAAUCAAUUGAUGAAUAAUCGACCUCGUUAAAUAGUCUAACCAUUACUACAGAUCCGGAUUCAAGAGAGAGGGAGGGAGGGAGAGAGAGAGAGAGAGAGAACACGAAUAGACGCGGACCGGUCCGCGUCGCGACGCCUAGUCUCGCGUUCCUAGCAUCGAAAUCCCCGGCGGCCGAACCCCACAAAACUACAGGAUGAUAACCAAUUCCUAUGGGUUCAUCUCGUUGAAGAAAAGAUUAUCCUCGUAGGAAUGUUACCUGUGCGUAACCAUAAGAGCAUUCCCCUGAAACACACAUAGGGAAAGUGCUGCUCGACGAUGCAACAAAGACAAGAACACUGCACCGAUCGUUCAUCAUCAAAUUUAUCAUCAACAUCACCACCAGCAGCAGCAAUAGUAUCAGCAUCAUCACUGGAUCUUCCUCCGAAAAGAGCGGCGCACUCGACGUCGCGACGCGUCGAUUCGGAUCCGCGGCGCGGGCAAAACGCUCGUUCAAAUCCCGGCGACGAACCGUAGGGGUGGGUUUGCCCUCGGCGUGCGUGUUCCACUGACUAUCUCGCGUUAAUGUUUCCGUUUUUAACUCGUGAACUCGUCUCCGUUCUGCGUAUACGAAUUCGAUCGUUCCGAACGUCGCGGCCGGCGAGUAUAGAUUCAAGUCGAAGGACGGCGAGAGAGAAUCGGUCCGCGCCGCGCCGCUCAUCGAAUCGCAUCGCAUCGGUUUCCAACCGCAUGGCACUUCGGACACGACUGAUCGAGUGACCGAGGGGGUAGCAUUGUAAGAAUACCCCUCCAACGUGCGCUUGUAUAGAAUUACGUGUGUGCCCGCUCAUCGCGCGCAUAGAGCAGCACAACUCUCCGUCCCCCUCGGGUUCGCGCAAAAGGGAGAAUCGAGGGGAGAGAAGAGUGGCUCUAACCUUCGCCUCUUCCCCUCUCUUUUUGUCGCCCCGUCUCAUUCCCUCUGUUCACUUUUCUCUCUCCGUCUUCCCCCCGUUUCUCACCGUCUCCCGUCCCCCUUCGUCGCUCCUUUCACCGGGUCUCUACCCACCCCUAGCCUUCGUGUACCCCUACCCUUAGCCCUCUCUCGGUUCCCUGUUCCCCACAACGCGUCGCCUCGCGUCUCUGUAGCGUGCGUGAAUCAUGCAUAUCGAUUUUCUUUCGUUUAGUACGCUGUUCGUUCGUUCGGCUCUCGCUCGUUCAUUCUGCUCGGUAGUUGACGCCCGCCGACGCUGUCCCCCCACAGAAAAGCCCGGGGGCCGGGCAGACGACGAACCCCUUUUUCAAAAUGCGCACGCUUGGUACCCGAACUCACAGAUUGCGUAGCCCGAACUCGGACCCGAGUUUUGCGUUCAAAAGGUUACUGUAACCCGCCAUAAUCACCAGGCGACCCAAGACACUAGUUACACACCAAAUUAGGGAGUUCAGUUUCCUGGUUUCAUAGUUCAUAUAACUCUUCCAGUUGAACGUUUAAAAAAUAUAGCUUCGAAGGA